UGUCCAGUCAUUAGGACUUUGGAGUCAUA
rnacentral:piRNA from 1 species